GGUUGGGCUUGGAGCUAGGAUUUUUCUGAGUGCAAUGAACCAACUCCCGAGUCUCUAGGACGUUCCUAAAAAAAUUUGAUUUUUUCCCAUAGGAAUGCAUGGGUUAGGGUUAGGGUUAGGGUUGGAGCUAGGGUUAGGGUUAGGGUUAGGGUUGGAGUUAGGGUUAGUGUUGGAGCUAGGGUUAGGGUUGGGCUUGGAGCUAGGAUUUUUCUGAGUGCACUGAACCAACUCCCGAGUCUCUAGGACAUUCCUAAAAAAAUUUGAUUUUUUCCCAUAGGAAUGCAUGGGUUAGGGUUAUGGUUAGGGUUAGGGUUGGAGCUAGGGUUAGGGUUAGGGUUAGGGUUGGAGUUAGGGUUAGUGUUGGAGCUAGGGUUAGGGUUGGGCUUGGAGCUAGGAUUUUUUCUGAGUGCAAUGAACCAACUCCCGAGUCUCUUGGACGUUCCCUAAAAAAAUUUGAUUUUUUCCCAUAGGAAUGCAUGGGUUAGGGUUAGGGUUAGGGUUGGAGCUAGGGUUAGGGUUAGGGUUAGGGUUGGAGUUAGGGUUAGUGUUGGAGCUAGGGUUAGGGUUGGGCUUGGAGCUAGGAUUUUUCUGAGUGCACUGAACCAACUCCCGAGUCUCUAGGACAUUUCCUAAAAAAAUUUGAUUUUUUCCCAUAGGAAUGCAUGGGUUAGGGUUAGGGUUAGGGUUGGAGCUAGGGUUAGGGUUAGGGUUAGGGUUGGAGUUAGGGUUAGUGUUGGAGCUAGGGUUAGGGUUGGGCUUGGAGCUAGGAUUUUUCUGAGUGCACUGAACCAACUCCCGAGUCUCUAGGACAUUCCUAAAAAAAUUUGAUUUUUUCCCAUAGGAAUGCAUGGGUUAGGGUUAGGGUUAGGGUUUGGGUUGGAGCUAGGGUUAGGGUUAGGGUUGGGGUUAGGGUUAGUGUUGGAGCUAGGGUUAGGGUUGGGCUUGGAGCUAGGAUUUUUCUGAGUGCAAUGAACCAACUCCCGAGUCUCUUGGACGUUCCUAAAAAAAUUUGAUUUUUUCCCAUAGGAAUGCAUGGGUUAGGGUUAGGGUUAGGGUUGGAGCUAGGGUUAGGGUUAGGGUUAGGGUUGGAGUUAGGGUUAGGCUUGGAGCUAGGGUUAGGGUUGGGCUUGGAGCUAGGAUUUUUCUGAGUGCACUGAACCAACUCCCGAGUCUCUAGGACGUUCCUAAAAAAAUUUGAUUUUUUCCCAUAGGAAUGCAUGGGUUAGGGUUAGGGUUAGGGUUGGAGCUAGGGUUAGGGUUAGGGUUAGGGUUGGAGUUAGGGUUAGUGUUGGAGCUAGGGUUAGGGUUGGGCUUGGAGCUAGGACUUUUCUGAGUGCACUGAACCAACUCCCGAGUCUCUAGGACAUUCCUAAAAAAAUUUGAUUUUUUCCCAUAGGAAUGCAUGGGUUAGGGUUAGGGUUAGGGUUGGAGCUAGGGUUAGGGUUAGGGUUAGGGUUGGAGUUAGGGUUAGUGUUGGAGCUAGGGUUAGGGUUGGGCUUGGAGCUAGGAUUUUUCUGAGUGCACUGAACCAACUCCCGAGUCUCUAGGACAUUCCUAAAAAAAUUUGAUUUUUUCCCAUAGGAAUGCAUGGGUUAGGGUUAUGGUUAGGGUUAGGGUUGGAGCUAGGGUUAGGGUUAGGGUUAGGGUUGGAGUUAGGGUUAGUGUUGGAGCUAGGGUUAGGGUUGGGCUUGGAGCUAGGAUUUUUCUGAGUGCAAUGAACCAACUCCCGAGUCUCUUGGACGUUCCUAAAAAAAUUUGAUUUUUUCCCAUAGGAAUGCAUGGGUUAGGGUUAGGGUUAGGGUUGGAGCUAGGGUUAGGGUUAGGGUUGGAGUUAGGGUUAGUGUUGGAGCUAGGGUUAGGGUUGGGCUUGGAGCUAGGAUUUUUCUGAGUGCAAUGAACCAACUCCCGAGUCUCUAGGACGUUCCUAAAAAAAUUUGAUUUUUUCCCAUAGGAAUGCAUGGGUUAGGGUUAUGGUUAGGGUUGGAGCUAGGGUUAGGGUUAGGGUUAGGGUUGGAGUUAGGGUUAGUGUUGGAGUUGGGUUAGGGUUGGGCUUGGAGCUAGGAUUUUUCUGAGUGCAAUGAACCAACUCCCGAGUCUCUAGGACGUUCCUAAAAAAAUUAGAUUUUUUCCCAUAGGAAUGCAUGGGUUAGGGUUAGGGUUAGGGUUGGAGCUAGGGUUAGGGUUAGGGUUAGGGUUGGAGUUAGGGUUAGUGUUGGAGCUAGGGUUAGGGUUGGGCUUGGAGCUAGGAUUUUUCUGAGUGCACUGAACCAACUCCCGAGUCUCUAGGACAUUCCUAAAAAAAUUUGAUUUUUUCCCAUAGGAAUGCAUGGGUUAGGGUUAUGGUUAGGGUUAGGGUUGGAGCUAGGGUUAGGGUUAGGGUUAGGGUUGGAGUUAGGGUUAGUGUUGGAGCUAGGGUUAGGGUUGGGCUUGGAGCUAGGACUUUUCUGAGUGCAAUGAACCAACUCCCGAGUCUCUAGGACAUUCCUAAAAAAAUUUGAUUUUUUUCCCAUAGUAAUGCAUGGUUUAGGGUUAUGGUUAGGGUUAGGGUUGGAGCUAGGGUUAGGGUUAGGGUUAGGGUUAGGGUUAGGGUUGGAGUUAGGGUUAGUGUUGGAGCUAGGGUUAGGGUUGGGCUUGGAGCUAGGAUUUUUCUGAGUGCACUGAACCAACUCCCGAGUCUCUAGGACAUUCCUAAAAAAAUUUGAUUUUUUCCCAUAGGAAUGCAUGGGUUAGGGUUAUGGUUAGGGUUAGGGUUGGAGCUAGGGUUAGGGUUAGGGUUAGGGUUGGAGUUAGGGUUAGUGUUGGAGCUAGGGUUAGGGUUGGGCUUGGAGCUAGGACUUUUCUGAGUGCAAUGAACCAACUCCCGAGUCUCUAGGACGUUCCCUAAAAAAAUUUGAUUUUUUUCCCAUAGGAAUGCAUGGGUUAGGGUUAGGGUUAGGGUUGGAGCUAGGGUUAGGGUUAGGGUUAGGGUUAGGGUUGGAGUUAGGGUUAGUGUUGGAGCUAGGGUUAGGGUUGGGCUUGGAGCUAGGAUUUUUCUGAGUGCACUGAACCAACUCCCGAGUCUCUAGGACAUUCCUAAAAAAAUUUGAUUUUUUCCCAUAGGAAUGCAUGGGUUAGGGUUAGGGUUAGGGUUGGAGCUAGGGUUAGGGUUAGGGUUAGGGUUGGAGUUAGGGUUAGUGUUGGAGCUAGGGUUAGGGUUGGGCUUGGAGCUAGGAUUUUUCUGAGUGCACUGAACCAACUCCCGAGUCUCUAGGACAUUCCUAAAAAAAUUUGAUUUUUUUCCCAUAGGAAUGCAUGGGUUAGGGUUAGGGUUAGGGUUAGGGUUGGAGCUAGGGUUAGGGUUAGGGUUGGAGUUAGGGUUAGUGUUGGAGCUAGGGUUAGGGUUGGGCUUGGAGCUAGGAUUUUUCUGAGUGCAAUGAACCAACUCCCGAGUCUCUUGGACGUUCCUAAAAAAAUUUGAUUUUUUCCCAUAGGAAUGCAUGGGUUAGGGUUAGGGUUAGGGUUGGAGCUAGGGUUAGGGUUAGGGUUAGGGUUGGAGUUAGGGUUAGUGUUGGAGCUAGGGUUAGGGUUGGGCUUGGAGCUAGGAUUUUUCUGAGUGCACUGAACCAACUCCCGAGUCUCUAGGACGUUCCUAAAAAAAUUUGAUUUUUUCCCAUAGGAAUGCAUGGGUUAGGGUUAGGGUUAGGGUUGGAGGUAGGGUUAGGGUUAGGGUUAGGGUUGGAGUUAGGGUUAGUGUUGGAGCUAGGGUUAGGGUUGGGCUUGGAGCUAGGAUUUUUCUGAGUGCACUGAACCAACUCCCGAGUCUCUAGGACAUUCCUAAAAAAAUUUGAUUUUUUCCCAUAGGAAUGCAUGGGUUAGGGUUAGGGUUAGGGUUGGAGCUAGGGUUAGGGUUAGGGUUAGGGUUGGAGUUAGGGUUAGUGUUGGAGCUAGGGUUAGGGUUGGGCUUGGAGCUAGGAUUUUUCUGAGUGCACUGAACCAACUCCCGAGUCUCUAGGACAUUCCUAAAAAAAUUUGAUUUUUUCCCAUAGGAAUGCAUGGGUUAGGGUUAUGGUUAGGGUUAGGGUUGGAGCUAGGGUUAGGGUUAGGGUUAGGGUUGGAGUUAGGGUUAGUGUUGGAGCUAGGGUUAGGGUUGGGCUUGGAGCUAGGAAUUUUCUGAGUGCAAUGAACCAACUCCCGAGUCUCUAGGACAUUCCUAAAAAAAUUUGAUUUUUUCCCAUAGGAAUGCAUGGUUUAGGGUUAUGGUUAGGGUUAGGGUUGGAGCUAGGGUUAGGGUUAGGGUUAGGGUUAGGGUUAGGGUUGGAGUUAGGGUUAGUGUUGGAGCUAGGGUUAGGGUUGGGCUUGGAGCUAGGAUUUUUCUGAGUGCACUGAACCAACUCCCGAGUCUCUAGGACAUUCCUAAAAAAAUUUGAUUUUUUCCCAUAGGAAUGCAUGGGUUAGGGUUAUGGUUAGGGUUAGGGUUGGAGCUAGGGUUAGGGUUAGGGUUAGGGUUGGAGUUAGGGUUAGUGUUGGAGCUAGGGUUAGGGUUGGGCUUGGAGCUAGGAUUUUUCUGAGUGCAAUGAACCAACUCCCGAGUCUCUUGGACGUUCCUAAAAAAAUUUGAUUUUUUUCCCAUAGGAAUGCAUGGGUUAGGGUUAGGGUUAGGGUUGGAGCUAGGGUUAGGGUUAGGGUUAGGGUUGGAGUUAGGGUUAGUGUUGGAGCUAGGGUUAGGGUUGGGCUUGGAGCUAGGAUUUUUCUGAGUGCACUGAACCAACUCCCGAGUCUCUAGGACAUUCCUAAAAAAAUUUGAUUUUUUCCCAUAGGAAUGCAUGGGUUAGGGUUAGGGUUAGGGUUGGAGCUAGGGUUAGGGUUAGGGUUAGGGUUGGAGUUAGGGUUAGUGUUGGAGCUAGGGUUAGGGUUGGGCUUGGAGCUAGGAUUUUUCUGAGUGCACUGAACCAACUCCCGAGUCUCUAGGACAUUCCUAAAAAAAUUUGAUUUUUUCCCAUAGGAAUGCAUGGGUUAGGGUUAUGGUUAGGGUUGGAGCUAGGGUUAGGGUUAGGGUUAGGGUUGGAGUUAGGGUUAGUGUUGGAGUUGGGUUAGGGUUGGGCUUGGAGCUAGGAUUUUUCUGAGUGCAAUGAACCAACUCCCGAGUCUCUAGGACGUUCCUAAAAAAAUUUGAUUUUUUCCCAUAGGAAUGCAUGGGUUAGGGUUAGGGUUAGGGUUGGAGCUAGGGUUAGGGUUAGGGUUAGGGUUGGAGUUAGGGUUAGUGUUGGAGCUAGGGUUAGGGUUGGGCUUGGAGCUAGGACUUUUCUGAGUGCAAUGAACCAACUCCCGAGUCUCUAGGACGUUCCUAAAAAAAUUUGAUUUUUUCCCAUAGGAAUGCAUGGGUUAGGGUUAGGGUUAGGGUUGGAGCUAGGGUUAGGGUUAGGGUUAGGGUUGGAGUUAGGGUUAGUGUUGGAGCUAGGGUUAGGGUUGGGCUUGGAGCUAGGAUUUUUCUGAGUGCAAUGAACCAACUCCCGAGUCUCUAGGACGUUCCUAAAAAAAUUUGAUUUUUUCCCAUAGGAAUGCAUGGGUUAGGGUUAUGGUUAGGGUUGGAGCUAGGGUUAGGGUUAGGGUUAGGGUUGGAGUUAGGGUUAGUGUUGGAGUUGGGUUAGGGUUGGGCUUGGAGCUAGGAUUUUUCUGAGUGCAAUGAACCAACUCCCGAGUCUCUAGGACGUUCCUAAAAAAAUUUGAUUUUUUCCCAUAGGAAUGCAUGGGUUAGGGUUAGGGUUAGGGUUGGAGCUAGGGUUAGGGUUAGGGUUAGGGUUGGAGUUAGGGUUAGUGUUGGAGCUAGGGUUAGGGUUGGGCUUGGAGCUAGGAUUUUUCUGAGUGCACUGAACCAACUCCCGAGUCUCUAGGACAUUCCUAAAAAAAUUUGAUUUUUUCCCAUAGGAAUGCAUGGGUUAGGGUUAUGGUUAGGGUUAGGGUUGGAGCUAGGGUUAGGGUUAGGGUUAGGGUUGGAGUUAGGGUUAGUGUUGGAGCUAGGGUUAGGGUUGGGCUUGGAGCUAGGACUUUUCUGAGUGCAAUGAACCAACUCCCGAGUCUCUAGGACAUUCCUAAAAAAAUUUGAUUUUUUCCCAUAGGAAUGCAUGGUUUAGGGUUAUGGUUAGGGUUAGGGUUGGAGCUAGGGUUAGGGUUAGGGUUAGGGUUAGGGUUAGGGUUGGAGUUAGGGUUAGUGUUGGAGCUAGGGUUAGGGUUGGGCUUGGAGCUAGGAUUUUUCUGAGUGCACUGAACCAACUCCCGAGUCUCUAGGACAUUCCUAAAAAAAUUUGAUUUUUUCCCAUAGGAAUGCAUGGGUUAGGGUUAUGGUUAGGGUUAGGGUUGGAGCUAGGGUUAGGGUUAGGGUUAGGGUUGGAGUUAGGGUUAGUGUUGGAGCUAGGGUUAGGGUUGGGCUUGGAGCUAGGACUUUUCUGAGUGCAAUGAACCAACUCCCGAGUCUCUUGGACGUUCCCUAAAAAAAUUUGAUUUUUUUCCCAUAGGAAUGCAUGGGUUAGGGUUAGGGUUAGGGUUGGAGCUAGGGUUAGGGUUAGGGUUAGGGUUGGAGUUAGGGUUAGUGUUGGAGCUAGGGUUAGGGUUGGGCUUGGAGCUAGGAUUUUUCUGAGUGCACUGAACCAACUCCCGAGUCUCUAGGACAUUCCUAAAAAAAUUUGAUUUUUUCCCAUAGGAAUGCAUGGGUUAGGGUUAGGGUUAGGGUUGGAGCUAGGGUUAGGGUUAGGGUUAGGGUUGGAGUUAGGGUUAGUGUUGGAGCUAGGGUUAGGGUUGGGCUUGGAGCUAGGAUUUUUCUGAGUGCACUGAACCAACUCCCGAGUCUCUAGGACAUUCCUAAAAAAAUUUGAUUUUUUUCCCAUAGGAAUGCAUGGGUUAGGGUUAGGGUUAGGGUUAGGGUUGGAGCUAGGGUUAGGGUUAGGGUUGGAGUUAGGGUUAGUGUUGGAGCUAGGGUUAGGGUUGGGCUUGGAGCUAGGAUUUUUCUGAGUGCAAUGAACCAACUCCCGAGUCUCUUGGACGUUCCUAAAAAAAUUUGAUUUUUUCCCAUAGGAAUGCAUGGGUUAGGGUUAGGGUUAGGGUUGGAGCUAGGGUUAGGGUUAGGGUUAGGGUUGGAGUUAGGGUUAGUGUUGGAGCUAGGGUUAGGGUUGGGCUUGGAGCUAGGAUUUUUCUGAGUGCACUGAACCAACUCCCGAGUCUCUAGGACGUUCCUAAAAAAAUUUGAUUUUUUCCCAUAGGAAUGCAUGGGUUAGGGUUAGGGUUAGGGUUGGAGGUAGGGUUAGGGUUAGGGUUAGGGUUGGAGUUAGGGUUAGUGUUGGAGCUAGGGUUAGGGUUGGGCUUGGAGCUAGGAUUUUUCUGAGUGCACUGAACCAACUCCCGAGUCUCUAGGACAUUCCUAAAAAAAUUUGAUUUUUUCCCAUAGGAAUGCAUGGGUUAGGGUUAGGGUUAGGGUUGGAGCUAGGGUUAGGGUUAGGGUUAGGGUUGGAGUUAGGGUUAGUGUUGGAGCUAGGGUUAGGGUUGGGCUUGGAGCUAGGAUUUUUCUGAGUGCACUGAACCAACUCCCGAGUCUCUAGGACAUUCCUAAAAAAAUUUGAUUUUUUCCCAUAGGAAUGCAUGGGUUAGGGUUAUGGUUAGGGUUAGGGUUGGAGCUAGGGUUAGGGUUAGGGUUAGGGUUGGAGUUAGGGUUAGUGUUGGAGCUAGGGUUAGGGUUGGGCUUGGAGCUAGGAUUUUUCUGAGUGCACUGAACCAACUCCCGAGUCUCUAGGACAUUCCUAAAAAAAUUUGAUUUUUUCCCAUAGGAAUGCAUGGGUUAGGGUUAUGGUUAGGGUUAGGGUUGGAGCUAGGGUUAGGGUUAGGGUUAGGGUUGGAGUUAGGGUUAGUGUUGGAGCUAGGGUUAGGGUUGGGCUUGGAGCUAGGACUUUUCUGAGUGCAAUGAACCAACUCCCGAGUCUCUUGGACGUUCCUAAAAAAAUUUGAUUUUUUCCCAUAGGAAUGCAUGGGUUAGGGUUAGGGUUAGGGUUGGAGCUAGGGUUAGGGUUAGGGUUAGGGUUGGAGUUAGGGUUAGUGUUGGAGCUAGGGUUAGGGUUGGGCUUGGAGCUAGGAUUUUUCUGAGUGCAAUGAACCAACUCCCGAGUCUCUAGGACGUUCCUAAAUAAAUUUGAUUUUUUCCCAUAGGAAUGCAUGGGUUAGGGUUAUGGUUAGGGUUGGAGCUAGGGUUAGGGUUAGGGUUAGGGUUGGAGUUAGGGUUAGUGUUGGAGCUAGGGUUAGGGUUGGGCUUGGAGCUAGGAUUUUUCUGAGUGCAAUGAACCAACUCCCGAGUCUCUUGGACGUUCCUAAAAAAAUUUGAUUUUUUCCCAUAGGAAUGCAUGGGUUAGGGUUAGGGUUAGGGUUGGAGCUAGGGUUAGGGUUAGGGUUAGGGUUGGAGUUAGGGUUAGUGUUGGAGCUAGGGUUAGGGUUGGGCUUGGAGCUAGGAUUUUUCUGAGUGCAAUGAACCAACUCCCGAGUCUCUAGGACAUUCCUAAAAAAAUUUGAUUUUUUCCCAUAGGAAUGCAUGGGUUUAGGGUUAUGGUUAGGGUUAGGGUUGGAGCUAGGGUUAGGGUUAGGGUUAGGGUUAGGGUUGGAGUUAGGGUUAGUGUUGGAGCUAGGGUUAGGGUUGGGCUUGGAGCUAGGAUUUUUCUGAGUGCACUGAACCAACUCCCGAGUCUCUAGGACAUUCCUAAAAAAAUUUGAUUUUUUUCCCAUAGGAAUGCAUGGGUUAGGGUUAGGGUUAGGGUUAGGGUUGGAGCUAGGGUUAGGGUUAGGGUUGGAGUUAGGGUUAGUGUUGGAGCUAGGGUUAGGGUUGGGCUUGGAGCUAGGAUUUUUCUGAGUGCAAUGAACCAACUCCCGAGUCUCUAGGACGUUCCUAAAAAAAUUUGAUUUUUUCCCAUAGGAAUGCAUGGGUUAGGGUUAUGGUUAGGGUUGGAGCUAGGGUUAGGGUUAGGGUUAGGGUUGGAGUUAGGGUUAGUGUUGGAGUUGGGUUAGGGUUGGGCUUGGAGCUAGGAUUUUUCUGAGUGCAAUGAACCAACUCCCGAGUCUCUAGGACGUUCCUAAAAAAAUUUGAUUUUUUCCCAUAGGAAUGCAUGGGUUAGGGUUAGGGUUAGGGUUGGAGCUAGGGUUAGGGUUAGGGUUAGGGUUGGAGUUUGGGUUAGUGUUGGAGCUAGGGUUAGGGUUGGGCUUGGAGCUAGGAUUUUUCUGAGUGCACUGAACCAACUCCCGAGUCUCUAGGACAUUCCUAAAAAAAUUUGAUUUUUUCCCAUAGGAAUGCAUGGGUUAGGGUUAUGGUUAGGGUUAGGGUUGGAGCUAGGGUUAGGGUUAGGGUUAGGGUUGGAGUUAGGGUUAGUGUUGGAGCUAGGGUUAGGGUUGGGCUUGGAGCUAGGACUUUUCUGAGUGCAAUGAACCAACUCCCGAGUCUCUAGGACAUUCCUAAAAAAAUUUGAUUUUUUCCCAUAGGAAUGCAUGGUUUAGGGUUAUGGUUAGGGUUAUGGUUGGAGCUAGGGUUAGGGUUAGGGUUAGGGUUAGGGUUGGAGUUAGGGUUAGUGUUGGAGCUAGGGUUAGGGUUGGGCUUGGAGCUAGGAUUUUUCUGAGUGCACUGAACCAACUCCCGAGUCUCUAGGACAUUCCUAAAAAAAUUUGAUUUUUUUCCCAUAGGAAUGCAUGGGUUAGGGUUAGGGUUAGGGUUAGGGUUGGAGCUAGGGUUAGGGUUAGGGUUGGAGUUAGGGUUAGUGUUGGAGCUAGGGUUAGGGUUGGGCUUGGAGCUAGGAUUUUUCUGAGUGCAAUGAACCAACUCCCGAGUCUCUUGGACGUUCCUAAAAAAAUUUGAUUUUUUCCCAUAGGAAUGCAUGGGUUAGGGUUAGGGUUAGGGUUGGAGCUAGGGUUAGGGUUAGGGUUAGGGUUGGAGUUAGGGUUAGUGUUGGAGCUAGGGUUAGGGUUGGGCUUGGAGCUAGGAUUUUUCUGAGUGCACUGAACCAACUCCCGAGUCUCUAGGACGUUCCUAAAAAAAUUUGAUUUUUUCCCAUAGGAAUGCAUGGGUUAGGGUUAGGGUUAGGGUUGGAGGUAGGGUUAGGGUUAGGGUUAGGGUUGGAGUUAGGGUUAGUGUUGGAGCUAGGGUUAGGGUUGGGCUUGGAGCUAGGAUUUUUCUGAGUGCACUGAACCAACUCCCGAGUCUCUAGGACAUUCCUAAAAAAAUUUGAUUUUUUCCCAUAGGAAUGCAUGGGUUAGGGUUAGGGUUAGGGUUGGAGCUAGGGUUAGGGUUAGGGUUAGGGUUGGAGUUAGGGUUAGUGUUGGAGCUAGGGUUAGGGUUGGGCUUGGAGCUAGGAUUUUUCUGAGUGCACUGAACCAACUCCCGAGUCUCUAGGACAUUCCUAAAAAAAUUUGAUUUUUUCCCAUAGGAAUGCAUGGGUUAGGGUUAUGGUUAGGGUUAGGGUUGGAGCUAGGGUUAGGGUUAGGGUUAGGGUUGGAGUUAGGGUUAGUGUUGGAGCUAGGGUUAGGGUUGGGCUUGGAGCUAGGAUUUUUCUGAGUGCACUGAACCAACUCCCGAGUCUCUAGGACAUUCCUAAAAAAAUUUGAUUUUUUCCCAUAGGAAUGCAUGGGUUAGGGUUAUGGUUAGGGUUAGGGUUGGAGCUAGGGUUAGGGUUAGGGUUAGGGUUGGAGUUAGGGUUAGUGUUGGAGCUAGGGUUAGGGUUGGGCUUGGAGCUAGGACUUUUCUGAGUGCAAUGAACCAACUCCCGAGUCUCUUGGACGUUCCUAAAAAAAUUUGAUUUUUUCCCAUAGGAAUGCAUGGGUUAGGGUUAGGGUUAGGGUUGGAGCUAGGGUUAGGGUUAGGGUUAGGGUUGGAGUUAGGGUUAGUGUUGGAGCUAGGGUUAGGGUUGGGCUUGGAGCUAGGAUUUUUCUGAGUGCAAUGAACCAACUCCCGAGUCUCUAGGACGUUCCUAAAAAAAUUUGAUUUUUUCCCAUAGGAAUGCAUGGGUUAGGGUUAUGGUUAGGGUUGGAGCUAGGGUUAGGGUUAGGGUUAGGGUUGGAGUUAGGGUUAGUGUUGGAGCUAGGGUUAGGGUUGGGCUUGGAGCUAGGAUUUUUCUGAGUGCACUGAACCAACUCCCGAGUCUCUAGGACGUUCCUAAAAAAAUUUGAUUUUUUCCCAUAGGAAUGCAUGGGUUAGGGUUAGGGUUAGGGUUGGAGCUAGGGUUAGGGUUAGGGUUAGGGUUGGAGUUAGGGUUAGUGUUGGAGCUAGGGUUAGGGUUGGGCUUGGAGCUAGGAUUUUUCUGAGUGCACUGAACCAACUCCCGAGUCUCUAGGACAUUCCUAAAAAAAUUUGAUUUUUUCCCAUAGGAAUGCAUGGGUUAGGGUUAUGGUUAGGGUUAGGGUUGGAGCUAGGGUUAGGGUUAGGGUUAGGGUUGGAGUAAGGGUUAGUGUUGGAGCUAGGGUUAGGGUUGGUCGUGGAGCUAGGACUUUUCUGAGUGCAAUGAACCAACUCCCGAGUCUCUAGGACAUUCCUAAAAAAAUUUGAUUUUUUCCCAUAGGAAUGCAUGGUUUAGGGUUAUGGUUAGGGUUAGGGUUGGAGCUAGGGUUAGGGUUAGGGUUAGGGUUAGGGUUGGAGUUAGGGUUAGUGUUGGAGCUAGGGUUAGGGUUGGGCUUGGAGCUAGGACUUUUCUGAGUGCAAUGAACCAACUCCCGAGUCUCUAGGAUGUUCCCUAAAAAAAUUUGAUUUUUUCCCAUAGGAAUGCAUGGGUUAGGGUUAGGGUUAGGGUUGGAGCUAGGGUUAGGGUUAGGGUUAGGGUUGGAGUUAGGGUUAGUGUUGGAGCUAGGGUUAGGGUUGGGCUUGGAGCUAGGAUUUUUCUGAGUGCACUGAACCAACUCCCGAGUCUC